UAUUACUUGUUGCUUCCCUGGGGUAACUCAGGGAAGGCAUACAUAUACUCUGUUUAUUGUAGUCAGUCUGAAUUUGUUUAUUUAUAAACGUUAAAACUUUCAACAACGGAUCUCUUGGUUCUCGCAUCGAUGAAGAACGCAGCGAAAUGCGAUAAGUAGUGUGAAUUGCAGAAUUCAGUGAAUCAUCGAAUCUUUGAACGCACAUUGCGCCCUCUGGUAUUCCGGGGGGCAUGCCUGUUCGAGCGUCAUCAAAACUACUCAAGCUAAGGUUUACCUUCUGCUUGGUCUUGGAAUUGGAGGCUUAUGUCUCCUUUCUGAAAUACAGUGGCGAAUUGACUGUGCUGUAAACGUAGUAACUUUACCCGUUGAAAGCAUGUUCACAUUCCGCCAAAACCCCCUCUAUUAUCUAGUUUGACCUCGGAUCAGGUAGGGAUACCCGCUGAACUUAAGCAUAUCAAUAAGCGGAGGAAAAGAAACCAACAGGGAUUGCCUUAGUAACUGCGAGUGAAGCGGCAAAAGCUCAAAUUUGAAAUCUGGGGCCUCACAGCCUCCGAAUUGUAAUUUCACGAUACGUUUUCGACUGAAGGCUCUGCUUUAAGUUCCUUGGAACAGGACGUCACAGAGGGUGAGAAUCCCGUGAUAGGUGGAGCCUGAUGCAUAUGAUACGUAUUCAACGAGUCGAGUUGUUUGGGAAUGCAGCUCAAAAUGGGAGGUAAAUUUCUUCUAAAGCUAAAUAUUGGCGAGAGACCGAUAGCGCACAAGUAGAGUGAUCGAAAGAUGAAAAGCACUUUGAAAAGAGAGUUAAAAAGUACGUGAAAUUGUUGAAAGGGAAGCGCUUGAGACCAGACUCAAUCUGUAGUGAUCAAUUUGGCUUCUGUCAGAUGCACUUGCUACUUAUUGGGACAGCAUCGGUUUUGGCGGU
rnacentral:rRNA from 1 species